GAAAUUCAAAUUUAACUGCAUGUACUGUAUAUUUAUUUAGUGGGUUUGGCAACCCUACCCCAAGAUACCUUGGGCGUUGGGGAAGAAGGAGAGGCCCCUGGAGGCAGAAGCUGGUGGGCGAGGUGAGGAUGGGGCCUGUCGGGGAGACGGCCCUGGAGGACAGAGCAAAGGAGCAGUGGGGGAGACAGAGCUGCAGGUGACGAACCGGGGGAGACGCUGGUGGUCUUCCUGAGCGGGUUUCUGCCGUUUACUAGCCAGGGAACCUAAGGCAGCCAGAAAAUUCCAGAGAGGCGAUCCUCCAGAUGACACCAUCCUGACACCGUGAAGCUGGUCCUUGGGAACUUCAAGGCUUUUUCAGCAGCCUCGGAGUAGGAGCCGCCUGGGCCCUGCGUCUCUGGAGGACGGUGUGUAUCAGGAGAGAGGGAGCAGGAGGGGAGGCAGCAGCACAGCUCCUGGGCCCGAGCCCACCGCUUCCAACGUCUGCUCCAGCGCUGCAGCGGGCAGGCUUCAAGGGCCAAAUGAGACACAGCAUCCAGGGCUAUUUCUCGGAUGUGCCACCUGCUCCGUCGCUCAGAAGGGCGUCUGCCUGACUGGAUGCUCCGAUGUCCCCAUGUUACAUGCACCACUCAAGGUUGACAUAAGGGAAGCCAACUGUAGGGAAAAAAAAAAACCAUAUUGUAACUUUGAAUGACCUUGUUAACUAAUCCAGCUGGCUAUGCGCCCUCUGGGAGAUAUUCGUGCUCUGUAGGUUUUAUGGCCUCUCCCAGCUGCUCUAAGUUGAUAAGUGUCUUCUUUCAAGUUCCUUAGAAAUGUUAUGAGCCCUGGGCAGAGAGUCUAUGCUGAGAGCCAUCAUCAGUGACAACUGAAAGAUCCGGGUAUAGGGCCUUGCUGCAGUCUCAGAUGCAUAGCCUGAUAAAAGAUUAUCAGGAACUAAGACCAGAUGCCUUCCCCACCCGGAGACCAUCCCCCUGUAUAACUGCCUGUAGUCCUUGUUGUGUAAGAUGGUUCUUUCUGAUGUUAGUCAGCCAUGUUCCCUCUUGCUAGCAAACCAUAAGAAAACCCUUUCUCUCUUACCACCUUGCCUCUUGAUUAUUGGCACAUCUUGCGGCUGGCAGAUGACCCCCCCCUUUGGGCAUAACAAAUAUGGCACCCUAUAUGGAACCUUA
rnacentral:lncRNA from 1 species